UACGUAGGGGGGCUAGCGUUGUCCGGAAUCAUUGGGCGUAAAGAGCGUGUAGGCGGUCCGGUAAGUCCGCUGUGAAAGUCGGGGGCUCAACCCUCGAAUGCCGGUGGAUACUGUCGGGCUAGAGUACGGAAGAGGCGAGUGGAAUUCCUGGUGUAGCGGUGAAAUGCGCAGAUAUCAGGAGGAACACCUAUUGCGAAGGCAGCUCGCUGGGACGUAACUGACGCCUGAGACGCGAAAGCGUGGGGAGCAAACAGG
rnacentral:rRNA from 1 species